UACGGAGGGUGCGAGCGUUGUCCGGAAUCACUGGGCGUAAAGGGUGCGUAGGCGGGUCUUUAAGUCAGGGGUGAAAUCCUGGAGCUCAACUCCAGAACUGCCUUUGAUACUGAAGAUCUUGAGUUCGGGAGAGGUGAGUGGAACUGCGAGUGUAGAGGUGAAAUUCGUAGAUAUUCGCAAGAACACCAGUGGCGAAGGCGGCUCACUGGCCCGAUACUGGACGCUGAGGCACGAAAGCGUGGGGAGCAAACAGGG
rnacentral:rRNA from 1 species